rnacentral:rRNA from 1 species
UACGUAGGGGGCAAGCGUUGUCCGGAAUCAUUGGGCGUAAAGGGCGCGUAGGCGGGGAGGUAAGUCGGGUGUGAAAUCCCUCGGCCCAACCGAGGAACUGCGCCCGAGACUGCUUCUCUUGAGUCCCGGAGAGGAAGAUGGAAUUCCCCGUGUAGCGGUGAAAUGUGUAGAGAUCGGGAGGAACACCGGUGGCGAAGGCGGUCUUCUGGACGGUGACUGACGCUGAGGCGCGAAAGCGUGGGGAGCAAACGGG